GAUGAACGCUGGCGGCGUGCCUAAUACAUGCAAGUCGAGCGAACGGACGAGAAGCUUGCUUCUCUGAUGUUAGCGGCGGACGGGUGAGUAACACGUGGAUAACCUACCUAUAAGACUGGGAUAACUUCGGGAAACCGGAGCUAAUACCGGAUAAUAUUUUGAACCGCAUGGUUCAAAAGUGAAAGACGGUCUUGCUGUCACUUAUAGAUGGAUCCGCGCUGCAUUAGCUAGUUGGUAAGGUAACGGCUUACCAAGGCAACGAUGCAUAGCCGACCUGAGAGGGUGAUCGGCCACACUGGAACUGAGACACGGUCCAGACUCCUACGGGGGGCAGCAGUAGGGAAUCUUCCGCAAUGGGCGAAAGCCUGACGGAGCAACGCCGCGCGAGUGGUGAAGGUCUUCGGAUCGUAAAACUCUGUUAUUAGGGAAGAACAUAUGUGUAAGUAACUGUGCACAUCUUGACGGUACCUAAUCAGAAAGCCACGGCUAACUACGUG
rnacentral:rRNA from 1 species